GACGGGGGGUCCUAGCGUUGUUCGGAAUUAUUGGGCGUAAAGCGUGUGCAGGUUGUUUGAAAAGUUGGAUGUGAAAUCCUUGGGCUCAACCCAAGACGUGCAUUCAAAACUGCCAAACUUGAGUAUGGAAGAGGAUCGUGGAAUUCCUAGUGUAGUGGUGAAAUACGUAGAUAUUAGGAGGAACACCGGUGGCGAAGGCGGCGAUCUGGUCCAAUACUGACACUCAUACACGAAAGCGUGGGGAUCAAACAGG
rnacentral:rRNA from 1 species